rnacentral:rRNA from 1 species
AUAAGUAUUUACUAGGUAGUAUAUAACUUAAAAACUAAUAUAAUAUGGCGGUCACUACCCCUUUGAGGAACUCGCUAUAUAAUCGUCAAUACCCGAUAAUUUUAACCUUAUUUUAAUAAUCUAUAUACCGCCGUUUCAAAUCUCUCACUAUAUUAUUUCAACAUUCACAUCAAUAAAAAAUCAGGUCAAGGUGUAAUAUAUAAUAAGGAUUUAGUAAGUUACACUAAAAUAAAUUUUAGGAUCUACCAUCAAACUUCAUAAUAAAAAAGAAUCCAUUCUCACAAAUAAAUUAAAAUUUUAUUUAGAAUACAAGGUAUAUGACGC